AGUGAACGCUGGCGGUAGGCCUAACACAUGCAAGUCGAACGGCAGCACAGUAAGAGCUUGCUCUUACGGGUGGCGAGUGGCGGACGGGUGAGGAAUACAUCGGAAUCUACUUUUUCGUGGGGGAUAACGUAGGGAAACUUACGAUAAUACCGCAUACGACCUACGGGUGAAAGCAGGGGAUCUUCGGACCUUGCGCGAUUGAAUGAGCGGAUGUCGGAUUAGCUAGUUGGCGGGGUUAAGGCCCACCAAGGCGAGGAUCCGUAGCUGGUCUGAGAGGAUGGUCAGCCACACGGGAGGUGAGACACGGUCCAGACUCCUGCGGGAGGGAGCAGAGUGCAACAUUGGACAGUAGUCGCAAGCCUGGUCCAGCCAUACCGCGUGUGUGAAGGAGGCCUUCGGGUUGUAAAGCCCUUUUUUUGGUAAAGAAAAGCAGCAGGUUAAUACCCCGCUGUUCUGACGGUACCCAAAGAAUAAGCACCGGCUAACUUCGUG
rnacentral:rRNA from 1 species